GAUCAUGGCUCAGGAUAAACGCUGGCGGCGUGCCUAACACAUGCAAGUCGAACGAUCCCGCAAGGGAGAGUGGCGGAAGGGUGAGUAACACGUGGGAAUCUACCUCCUCGCAGGGAACAACCUCUCGAAAGAGAGGCUAAUACCCAAAAGGGUCAGAAAUGAUCAGAGUCGAAAGGUGUGAGGAGAGGAGCCCGCGGCCCAUCAGCUAGUUGGUGAGGUAAUGGCUUACCAAGGCUACGACGGGUAGGGGAUCUGAGAGGAUGUCCCCCACACUGGAACUGAAACACGGUCCAGACGCCUACGGGUGGCAGCAGUGAGGAAUAUUGGACAAUGGGCGAAAGCCCGAUCCAGCAACGCCGCGUGGAGGAUGAAGGCCUUCGGGUCGUAAACUUCUUUAGAGGGAGACGAGAAAGGACGGUAUCCCUAGAAUAAGCGACGGCAAACUACGUG
rnacentral:rRNA from 1 species